ensembl:misc_RNA 7SK 7SK RNA
GGAUGUGAGGGCAAUCUGACUGCGACAUCUGUCACCUCCAUUGAUCACCAGGGUUGAUUUGGCUGAUUUGGCUGGCUAGGCGGGUGUCCCCUUCCUCCCUCUCCAUUCCAUGUGUGUCCCUCCCAAAGCUACGCGCUCUAUCGCUCUGUUGAAGAGGAUGGCCUUCCCCAAAUAGAGACUGGUCUUGGGUCCAAACUGGUCUUAGGUAGAGGGUAUAUGAGUAGCUGCGCUCCCCUGCUAGAACCUCCAAGCUCUCAAGGUCCUGGGGUCUCUGAGCCCAAGUCUGUUGCAUAAGUCCCUGAGCUUUCUCC